GCGGCGGGCGGGCCACCUGGACAGCGGCCUGGGAUGUCAGCUCCGCCCCACUCCGAACCCCGUAAUGUCCCCACUGCGGGCAGCCGGAUGAGAAAUAAUAGCACGAGGCUUAGGAAACCGGAACGGGACCGUGUGUGCGUCCGUGCAGUGGAAGCCUGCUGCCAUGUCAUGAGAGGACACUCCAUUCUAAUGGGGAGGUCCAUGUGGUAAGGAAUUGAGUGCCAACAACUGGCACUGUUUUAACAAGAAUGCUUGUGAGCUACCUGAAGCAGAACCUCAAGCCCCAGUCAAGCUUCAGAGGACUACAUCUCUGGCCAACAUCUUGACUGAAACCUCAGGAUGCAUCCUGAGUCAGAUCCAUCUAGCUAAACUGCUCCUGGAUUCCUGACCCACAGAAAUUGUGUGAGCAACUCACUCGAUAGAUAAACUUGUUCAUGUGCAAAGUUACAGAUGCUGUGGAAGCACAGCUUAGUGAAUAAGGGCCUGCAUGGAUGGAGUCCUGCCUGACGCUUCCUGGCUGUCACCUUAGGAAGUCACCUGAUCGUCUGUGCUUUGGU